rnacentral:tRNA from 6 species
GGGCGUCAGGCCGCAAGGUGUGGCAGGAGACUGUAACUCUCUCGCGGAAACGCACGCCUGGUUCGAUUCCAGGGUCGCCCACCA